AGUCACUGACAUUAGAUACCCCGGUAGUCCCAGCCGUAAACAAUGUGCGUUAGGUGUGUCGGUAACCACGUGUUACUGAUGCGCCGAAGAGAAAUCGUGAAACGCACCACCGGGGAAGUACGGUCGCAAGGCUGAAACUUAAAGGAAUUGGCGGGGAGCACCACAACAGGUGGAGCCUGCGGUUUAAUUGGAUUCAACGCCGGACAUCUCACCGGAUAAGACAGCUGAAUGAUUGUCAAUCUGAAGGUUUUACAUGACUAGCUG
rnacentral:rRNA from 1 species